AAAUCAUGAUGUGGAAAUCUUUGGAUCAGCAUCUUAAAAUGUUCUCAAGCUUCAUGAAAGCUUUCUCCUUUCAAUUGCUUGAAUGUAGCUAUCUCCCUCAUUAGUUG
rfam:Gossypium arboreum cultivar AKA8401 contig_18327_1, whole genome shotgun sequence.